rnacentral:tRNA from 1 species
GUCCCAGUGGCUGAAUGGUACACGAGCUUGCCUGGUAACCAGAAGGUCCUGGGUUCGAAUCCCAGCGGGUACC